UUUUUGGAGAGUUUGAUCCUGGCUCAGAGUGAACGCUGGCGGCGUGGAUUAGGCAUGCAAGUCGAGCGAACCCGCAAGGGUUAGCGGCAAAAGGGUGAGUAACACGUAAGUAAUUUUCCUUUAAGUCGGGGAUAGCAUCGUGAAAACGGUGGUAAUACCCGAUGUUAUCGGUUGUUCGCAUGAAUAUCCGAUCAAAGACGGGGACCGCAAGGCCUGUCGUUUAAAGAUGAGCUUGCGUACCAUCAGCUAGUUGGUAGGGUAACGGCCUACCAAGGCUAAGACGGUUAGCUGGUCUGAGAGGACGACCA
rnacentral:rRNA from 1 species